rnacentral:lncRNA from 1 species
AUUCCCCACUGCUUCAAUGUGUACUCCUUUACUAGGUCUUCUGAACCCUGAGGUAAAACAAACCUUGUAAGUAGCUUGUCCCACAUUCUUGUGAUUUCAUUUUGGUCCACAUUUGCCCACUCCCUGACUGUGAUGUCAAGAUGGUCCCUAACUAAGAAUCCAAGUGCUUUACGCCACUUAGGUAAGGCCUCUGGAGGAGCUAGGGGUUGUCCUGUCGGGCUCACAUCUGUAAUUCUAAAUGUGACUUUUGGAAACUGAUUCAAUCCUCUGUCACCUCAUUUCCUUUUUCUAUCAUCAGUCUUCUCGGUGGUUGUCUCGGUCGUCGGUUCGGGUGCACCUUCAUGUGUGAAUUCUUCCUGGGAUAUGAUCUCUUUCAGCUCAUGAAACUGAGAUAACACCUCC